rnacentral:rRNA from 1 species
CGCCUCUUGCCCCCCCCCCAUAAGAGGUCUAGCCUGCCCAGUGACUCUGUUCAACGGCCGCGGUAUCCUAACCGUGCAAAGGUAGCGUAAUCACUUGUUUUCUAAAUAAAGACCAGUAUGAAAGGCAUCACGAGGACUAAACUGUCUCCUCUCCCUAAUCAGUGAACCUAUAACCCCGUGAAGAAGCGGGGAUUUUUAUAUAAGACGAGAAGACCCUAUGGAGCUUAAAACAUCAAACACCUGCUAUCCUAUUACACCUACUCCGGUUUCUACCCUAAGAGCACGCUGAUUACAUGUUUUUGGUUGGGGUGACCGCGGAGAAAAACCUAUCCUCCACAAUGAAUGGGGAAUUCCCCCCUAAAUAGUAAGCCACAACUUUAUAUACCAGCAAACUGACAUCCAUUGACCCAAUAUAUUGAUUAACGAACCAAGUUACCCUAGGGAUAACAGCGCAAUCCAUUUUGAGAGCUCCUAUCGACAAAUGGGCUUACGACCUCGAUGUUGGAUCGGGGUAUCCUGGGGGUGCAGCCGCUACUAAAGGUUCGUUUGUUCAACGAUUAAAACCCC